rnacentral:rRNA from 1 species
UACGUAGGGGCUAGCGUUAUCCGGAAUUACUGGGCGUAAAGAAGCUCGUAGGCGGCUCAGCAAGUCGGCUGUGAAAUCCCGAGGCUCAACCUCGGAACUGCAGUCGAUACUGCUGUGGCUAGAGUCUGGUAGAGGAGAAUGGAAUUCCCGGUGUAGCGGUGAAAUGCGCAGAUAUCGGGAGGAACACCAGUAGCGAAGGCGGUUCUCUGGGCCAGUACUGACGCUGAGGAGCGAAAGCGUGGGUAGCAAACAGGAUUAGA